GCCGGGCGCAAUGGUGCGCGCCUGUAGUCCCAGCUACUCGGGAGGCUGAGGCUGGAGGAUCGCUUGAGCCCAGGAGUUCUGGGCUGUAGUGUGCUAUGCUGAUCGGGUGUCCGCACUAAGUUCGGCAUCAAUAUGGUGACCUCCCGGGAGCGGGGGGGCCACCAGGUUGCCUAAGGAGGGGUGAACCGGCCCAGGUCAGAGACGGAGCAGGUCAAAGCUCCCGUGCUGAUCAGUAGUGGGAUCGCACCUGUGAAUAGCCACUGCACUCCAGCCUGGGCAACAUAGCAAGACCCUGACUCUG
rnacentral:SRP_RNA from 1 species